AAGAAAUUAGGUUUAAAUUCCAA
rnacentral:tRNA from 1 species